rfam:Ictidomys tridecemlineatus contig017418, whole genome shotgun sequence.
GAGGAUAUAGCUCAGCUGGUAGAGUGCUUGCCUAGCAUGCAUAAGGCCCUGGGUUCAAUCCCCAGCACCAUCA